GCCUGGGUGGCUCAGUCGGUUAAGCGUCCAACUUCGGCUCAGGUAUCUCAGUCUGUGGGUUCAAGCCCCACAUCAGGCU
rnacentral:tRNA from 1 species